UCUCCUUUUCUUUCUCCCUCGGCCGCUCUCUUUCUCUCUCUGUCUUCCUCUCUCUCUCUCAAACAGACGCACAUACAGGGACUCCAAAAGCUCUACAGACACUCUUUGCCAAUUUAAUAAAGAAAGACUUUGUCAUGCGUAUCUCUCCCACAGCUUCCUGGCCAGAGUGACAACAGUGUGGGUGAGUGGAAAAACAGGAAGAGGACAGGCGGACUUUAGGCAGCUCUGGAAAAUCCUGACAUUGGCUGACCCACACCAUCUGUAGGCAGAGGCCUGACAGGUGUAUGACUGUUGGGGCAAAGAGUGGAUGACUCAGGAGCUCUGCACAGCAUUGUUGUGGAACCAACCUGUGAUACUGGAUAUUCACCUUACUACUUGGAGACCUCUGGCUGCUACUCUAUCAGCAAAACAAGAGUGGAACCUGAUAAAAACCCCACUGUAGUGUUAGGAGCUUAAGUGAAAACCCGCUUCACAACGUUCACAAACACAAUAUGCGCCACAAGGAGCUGUUAUUUCUAUAAAUAGCUCUGGCUUCACGCACAACAUUUUGGCUACUAUUACACAUCAACAAGCACAGGCAUCAGCCAUGAGCUGUGAGCUUGUCACAUGUGCCUGAGCAUAACACACAAACACAGCACAGAUUGUCUGCAUGUGUCAUAUGCUCGCACACAGAGACAUGCAUUCACACUCAUCCAUGUCAGUUAGAAUCAGUGGGUUUGGUCACUGUUUUCAACCCAACGUGAUACGUUUUCCUGUUUUCACUAGGAGGAUGUGGUUAGAUUUUUCUGUCGUGUGCUGAGCUGCUUCAGUAGACACAAGUAAUUUCUCGCCCACAAGCACUAAUAGCCCACUCAUGUACUGACUGAAACAAUGACAGCAAUAUUUACCAGAAACAACAUGAACAAUAGAUACACAUAAUCAUAGAGAGAGGGUCUUUAAAUAAUGGAGGAUAAGUGCAAUAACAACACAACAGCACAGGAGAAAUACUGACGAUGAAGCAACAAAAUAGCAACUGUAAGAAGUCAUCUUACGUGGUAUAAAAAUAUCAGAGAUUAUCAUGCUGAGUCUACCAGAUGGAGAGAUGGCCACCUAUGGCAGUGCAUGUCAGUGAGUCCCAAGGAGAAACAGUAAGGAGACAUGUCUGCAAAAAAGGUAAACAGGGCUGUGCUGCCCUCUGUUGGUCAACCUCUGUAAAUGGAAAAACCCUCAGUACAUGGCACAGUUCCUCAAAAUAAAAGUAUGAAUGAAUAAAUAAUAGCGUCAUUAAUUUAUAUGCAUGAACAAUUUUAAACUGACAUGCUAAUUUUGAUUCAGUAUAGUUAAAGAAUAAAUAUAUACCAGUCACAGCUUCAAAAUGUCAGAUCUGGCCAACCUACAUUUGUACGUUGUAUAUAAUGAGGCUGUAUGAAAAGGUCAGGCAAAUUAAGAAAGAAAAUAUUGUCUAAUUCAAAUGAUAAGUGAACAAAUAAAUAUGUUUAGCAACAGAGUGUGAACACAAGCGUAUAAACGGGAUGUAGUCACAAACUGUGGCUUAAAAGGCUGAUGUUGCAGAGUAAAACUAAACCAACUGUUGAAUUAUUAUAUAUUUAUUGAACAAUGUUAAGUAUGAUAGGGCUCUCCAUGUAGGAACUCUAAUAAUAUAGUAUAAAAAAUUAAAAAAGUACAAAUAACAAAGACAAGACAAGGCAUUGUAAACAACAUCCAGAAUAAGACAAAAGAAACUGAUUUCCUCAUGGCAGUAUUUUCAGAAUAAAUUUUUUUUUUUCCUUUCAUAAAACAUGUUUUUUCUCCCCAUAAUUAAUAUUGUUGUAACUGCAAAACUGUGCCUCAAACAGAGACGUUAAUCAGAAACAUUCCCAACUAUUGGGAUGAAUGUAGUGAUUUCUUUUCUUCCUUUAGGGUUUUCUUUCUUUUAGCAUAUCCAACACAAACCGUUGAAAAAGUCAAAAAUACAAGUCCAUAUAUUCAAUGAAAUACAAAAUAUGAAAUG